rnacentral:rRNA from 1 species
UAAAUUGAGAGUUUGAUCCUGGCUCAGGACGAACGCUGGCGGCGUGCCUAACACAUGCAAGUCGAGCGGGAGACUUC